rnacentral:misc_RNA from 1 species
AAGUCGUAACAAGGUUUCCGUAGGUGAACCUGCGGAAGGAUCAUUAUUGAAUUGUGGGCCUCGGCCCGAAACAACAAACCCUUCAUAACCUCUUGUGAACAUGUCGGCCCUCGGGCCUUCAAACUCCAAACUUUUGUGUGUCGUAUGAACGUAAUAACAAUGAAAUAAACACAA